rnacentral:rRNA from 1 species
GGCGGCGUGCCUAUACAUGCAAGUCGAGCGAACUGAUUAGAAGCUUGCUUCUAUGACGUUAGCGGCGGACGGGUGAGUAACACGUGGGCAACCUGCCUGUAAGACUGGGAUAACUUCGGGAAACCGAAGCUAAUACCGGAUAGGAUCUUCUCCUUCAUGGGAGAUGAUUGAAAGAUGGUUUCGGCUAUCACUUACAGAUGGGCCCGCGGUGCAUUAGCUAGUUGGUGAGGUAACGGCUCACCAAGGCAACGAUGCAUAGCCGACCUGAGAGGGUGAUCGGCCACACUGGGACUGAGACACGGCCCAGACUCCUACGGGAGGCAGCAGUAGGGAAUCUUCCGCAAUGGACGAAAGUCUGACGGAGCAACGCCGCGUGAGUGAUGAAGGCUUUCGGGUCGUAAAACUCUGUUGUUAGGGAAGAACAAGUACGAGAGUAACUGCUCGUACCUUGACGGUACCUAACCAGAAAGCCACGGCUAACUACGUGCCAGCAGCCGCGGUAAUACGUAGGUGGCAAGCGUUAUCCGGAAUUAUUGGGCGUAAAGCGCGCGCAGGCGGUUUCUUAAGUCUGAUGUGAAAGCCCACGGCUCAACCGUGGAGGGUCAUUGGAAACUGGGGAACUUGAGUGCAGAAGAGAAAAGCGGAAUUCCACGUGUAGCGGUGAAAUGCGUAGAGAUGUGGAGGAACACCAGUGGCGAAGGCGGCUUUUUGGUCUGUAACUGACGCUGAGGCGCGAAAGCGUGGGGAGCAAACAGGGAUUAGAUACCCU